CUUUUCACCAUCGAAAUGUUUGUCAGAAUAUUGGUAGUGUCAGUGAGCAUGAUGAACACCCCCAAGGCGAGGGCGAAACAUGGAAGUGGGUACAUGAUAUUCUGGCUGCUGCAGAGGAAGCUGAAAGGGAGCAUCAUCUUGCCUAUUCGAGAGAGGAUGAUGAGAUUCUGGGUUGGGUGCGAAAGCUACUGAAAAAGCCAACUGAACUGCUCAGUCCUCGGACCUAGAGUGGAAAAGAGACAUCACAGUCGCCACCAGCAUCACAACAGCUGGCUGUGGCUCGAGUGCCUAUAGUGUUGGUGGUGGUGGGGGG